rnacentral:lncRNA from 1 species
GACAAGCUUAAAACUAAGGAGACGGGGAUUGAUACGGCCGGCGAUAUCAACAGACCUCUGCCCAAGCGACCGUGACUAGUUCCGCCCGCGCACGACGUAUACCAGGUGGAAUAUCUGGGCAGCAGAUUCGCUAACAAUUAGUAAAGGUUAAUUACACCCCAGACCCUGAGGUGUUAGGGAAGAGGGUGCAACGGUUAUUGGAAGGAACUGCUCUGAUAACCGGAGAUAUUAUUUAUAAUAGAAAUGGGUUACAUGAUGGCAGUUACACCCCUGCGUGGGUUGAUUGUAAAGAGUCGAUCCCACGAUUUACAUAAGGGCGACCCUAUAAAAUCCAUGAAAAACAAUGAACUAAAUACAAGUUAAAAAUUAUUAUAAUCUCUGUUUUCCUCGUAUUUUCGUUCCCGUCGACUUCGCUCCGGCCAACGUCGACCGACACUCCUCCAGGUGUGUCAGUGUCUCCCUUCUCAAGAGGAGUCUGGAUGAAGUGUGAAACCUGAUAUUUGUAAAUGUCAGGAAUCAAUGAGGCGCUAACACUAUCAACAAGAACUAUUAAGGUUUCUGAGAUUGAUCCACGGUUCGAAUCUUACUUUGUACAUUUCCACUUAAAUUUACCUGAUGAUAUAUUAUGUGGCUCUGGUAUAUCAUCCGGAGGUUGACAGCUCUACAUCUGUAGAGUGGCACCUUCCGUUAUAAAAAAAAAACCCAUCAACAACGGAAGAGGAGGAAGUGUCCCUUUCUGCCAUUCGAUGCACUCAAGUUUUAACGGAAAAGAAAAAAAUAGAAUAAGCAUGAAUCCUUGACGUCUCCAAGUUGAAACAAUACAUUCUUUGCGUCACAAACAAAGUAAAAAUCAACAAUUUGCAAAUAAAGUAAUUUCAAUCGACAACAAUAAAUGAUUGAAAUGAAGCAGAAACAAUCAACUUAAACUGCACAAUCGACUAAUAGAUUUUUUUUAAUAAUAAAACUUAGCAAACCGGUAAAAUAUGUGCAAUCGAUUGAGAAAAAAAAUCAACAGCAUGCAAUUUGAUUAUAAAUCGCAAUAUAAUUGCGAGAGAAAAAAAAAAUUUCUGCCAAUAAUCGAUAAUACCAGCAUUCAAGGCAAAAAAAUUCAGUAUUAAUUUGAAUAAUCAGAAGAAAAAUUAAUCAAUAAUAUCAGCACGAUUAAACCAGUUAUUAGACAUGUAAAAAAAAAGACUCGAUUGAUGCAAUGAUAUGCAGAUGUAAUUAAACUAGUCUGACUAAAAAAAUCGCAAUCUAGUAUUUAGAAUAUAAAAAAAUUAUUCUGAAUAUAAAAUAGAAAGGGCAAACCAGAGAGUUGCAAAGUAUGCAACUGAUCCACGGGAAUCAAAAUCGCAAAACUAAGAUCCACGCAAGCAAUUGGAAACGAGGUCUUUGAUCGGCGAGUAGCAAAACAACAACGACGAGCAUCAAUCAAGAUCCACGCGAGCAGAUCCAUUCGGAAACUUUGAUCGGCAGAAAACGAAAAUCAAAACGGAGCAGAUCCACGUGAGUAUAGAAAAUCAAAACGAAAACAGAAAUUGAUUUCAGAAAUCAAAACGGAAAUUGAUUUGAUUACGCGAAAUCAAAACGAUUUGAUUUCAGACACACGAAUGACGGAACUGAUUGCGGAUUGCGGAAGUAGAUCAUGGAUUUUCUUCAAACACAGAUGCAGACACAGAUCGUGGAUUUCUAAUCGCAGAUGCGGACGUGGAAGAUUGGUGAACGCAGCGAGCAGAUCCAAGAUUCACUAGAAAACGCAAGAAUGGAAAAUCAACUAAGUUGAACAAUAAUCAACUGAUACCAUAUUAGACUCGUCAAAACUUAAUUGAAAGCAAAUGAAAG